GCGCGAAAACUUUACAAUGCCGGCAACAGCGAUAAGGGAACCUCGAGUGCCAGGUUACAAAUCUGGCUGUCGAGAUGCCUAAAAAGCAUUUCAUAGCAAGGGCCGGGCAAGACCGGUGCCAGCCGCCGCGGUAACACCGGCGGCUCGAGUGGUAAUCGUUAUUAUUGGGUCUAAAGGGUCUGUAGCCGGCCGGAUAAGUCUCUUGAGAAAUCUGGCAGCUUAACUGUCAGGCUUUCAGGAGAUACUGUCUGGCUCGAGGCCGGGAGAGGUGAGAGGUACUUCAGGGGUAGGGGUGAAAUCUUGUAAUCCUUGAAGGACCACCAGUGGCGAAGGCGUCUCACCAGAACGGACCUGACGGCAAGGGACGAAAGCUAGGGGCACGAACCG
rnacentral:rRNA from 1 species